rnacentral:rRNA from 1 species
AGUGGAUGGGGAGCAACCUAGUUGUGCGUGUGUAAAGGUAGUGCCAAGAAAAGCGAUGAUCAUGUUGAAAAUCAAUUCCCGGUACCCGAAACCGUCACAGGUGGGCAAGUAGAGAAUACUAAGGGGCGCGAGGUAACUCUCUCCAAGGAACUCGGCAAAAUGACCCCGUAACUUAGGGAGAAGGGGUGCCACCGAGAGGUGGUCGCAGUGAAGAGGCCCAGGCGACUGUUUAGCAAAAACAUAGGUCUCUGCAAACUCGAAAGAGGAGGUAUAGGGGCUGACGCCUGCCCAGUGCCGGAAGGUUAAAGAAGUUGGUCAGUUUUAGGAUGAAGCUAGCGACUGAAGCCCCGGUGAACGGCGGCCGUAACUAUAACGGUCCUAAGGUAGCGAAAUUCCUUGUCGGGUAAGUUCCGACCCGCACGAAAGGCGUAACGAUCUGGGCGCUGUCUCGGAGAGAGGCUCGGCGAAAUAGGAUUGUCUGUGAAGAUACGGACUACCUGCAUUUGGACAGAAAGACCCUAUGAAGCUUUACUAUAGCUUGGAAUUGUGUUCGGGCUUCCUGUGCGCAGGAUAGGUGGGAGGCGUAGAAGGUAUUCUUGUGGGGAUACUGGAGCCAACGGUGAGAUACCACUCUCAGGAGGCUAGAAUUCUAACUUAAUUAAGGACAGUUUCAGGUGGGUAGUUUGACUGGGGCGGUCGCCUCCAAAAAGGCAACGGAGGCGUACAAAGGUUCCCUCAGACUGGUUGGAAAUCAGUCGAAGAGUGCAAAGGCAGAAGGGAGCUUGACUGCGAGAAGUACAGUUCGAGCAGGGUGGAAACACGGUCUUAGUGAUCCGACGGUGCUGUGUGGAAGGGCCGUCGCUCAACGGAUAAAAGUUACUCUAGGAUAACAGGCUGAUCUCCCCCUAGAGUUCACAUCGACGGGGAGGUUUGGCACCUCGAUGUCGGCUCAUCGCAACCUGGGGCGGAAGUACGUCCCAAGGGUUGGGCUGUUCGCCCAUUAAAGCGGUACGUGAGCUGGGUUCAGAACGUCGUGAGACAGUUCGGUCCAUAUCCGAUGUAGGCGUGAGAAUAUUGAGAGGAGCCUUCCUUAGUACGAGAGGACCGGGAAGGACGCACCCCUGGUGUACCUGUUAUGAUGCCAAUUGUAAACGCAGGGUAGCCAAGUGCGGAGAGGAUAACCGCUGAAAGCAUCUAAGUGGGAAGCCCACCUCAAGAUGAGUAUUCUGGUGUAAGGUCACGGGAAGACGACCCGUAAAUAGGCACGAGGUGGAAGUGCAGAGAUGUAUGAAGCCGAAGUGUACUAAUAGACCGUCGGC